rnacentral:tRNA from 1 species
GCGCGGUUAGCUCAGCUGGGAGAGCACCUGAUUGACGUUCAGGAGGUCAGUGGUUCGAGCCCACUACCGCGCACCA